CUGGCAGCACAGUAGGUGUGUUCCCACCAGCAUCACCACACCCACGUGAUCUCCUUCUGCUCCUGACAAACAGCUUCCUCAGGUUGAAAAUAUAAUGCUGAUUUCAUCUUAUACUACCUUCCUUCUUGCUCCCCUCACUCCUGCUAUACAGGCCUUAUUGCUAUUCCUUAAACAAGCUAAACAUGCAUCAGAGGCAGUGAAAGGAUGGUUACAUAACAGAAGAUCAAUCAAACAACAAAAUAUAUUAAUGAUGAUGGAUGGGUGCCAGGUUCCUCAUUGUCAGAGAAGAGAGUUACAGAUACAUGAAGGAAGAAAAGUGGAAUGAACAUUCUAUGUUGGAUUGAAGUUAGAGAUAUAAGUAUGAAUCCCUGGAUUUCAGUAUGUAUAAAAAUAAAUGUAGACAUAACAUACAUGCAUGUCUUAAUUCUGGCCUGGAAUGGCAAUUCCCCAGUGCUAAUGAGUACACCAAGUGUCCAGAAGUUGGCUCUUAAAUACUAUUCUCCACUAAAAAAUCAUCAGGACUACUUAUAAAAAUGGCUGAUUCCAGGGUGGUACAGGGAGGGUACAAGAUCACCCUGGAACAUUUUCUUGUGCCACUGAGAAAGAAAAUACUUAAAAAAUGAUGGAGGUAUGUCAAAGGGACACAGAAGCCAAUCUGAAGGAAGUUUCCAUUGGCCCCAAAUGGGGACUAUUUUAACAAGAAAAUAAACACUGCUUGGAACAUAAAUUAAUAAACUGAAUUUUGGUGAAACUUUAUAUAGUUUCAAAGUACCACUUUACAAAAUACUUAUUAAUUAUAAAGGGAAAAAGAGUAACUGUAAAGUGGAGAAACCUGGCAGACAUCACGUUAAUCAAGUAAUCAGAGUUAAAUGGAACAAAUCUAAGUUCUCUGCCCUCUGAUAGGAUGAGACGGGAAGAACAAAGCAUUACUUCCUGACAAGGAUUCAGUACCUGAACUCAUGAGGAUCCCUCAGACAAAUCCAAAUUGAAGAACAUUCUACAAAAUAACUUGCCAGUAAUUCUCAAAAAUAUCAAGGUCUUGGAGGUCAAGAAAGACUGAGGAAUUGUUUGGUACUGAAGGAGUCUAAGGAGAUGUUACAAGUAAAUUUAGCAGGUGAUUCUAUGCUGCUUCCAUUGUCUGUAAAGGAGAUUUUAAGUGUUAAUUUUCUGAUUUUGAUGGUUGUACUGUGGUUAUAAAUUCAUAAUCUAUUCCAAGUUAUGGGGCAAGUUAGCAACUUGACUCUCAAAUGAUAUAAAGAAAAUUUCUUUGUACUGGAUUUGCAACUUUUCUCUGAGUUUCAGAUGGUAUCAGAAUAAAAUGAUGGAUACAAAGAAAAAGAAUACAACUCUUAUAAUUCUGUAGGUCAGGUAUUCAAGUGGGACUCAGCUGAGCAGUUUUUGUGCUCUGUGUAGCAAAGGUUUGGUCACUCACUCGGCUGCAUUUAGCAAGAUGCUGAGCUAGAAGUUCCAAGAAGUCUUCACUCGCUGUCUGGCUCCUCUCUGCUCCUCCAUGUGUACCACCCUCUUCCCCUGCAUGGAGUGUCAUCAUUCAGGAGUCCAGCCCAAGAUUCUUUUGGUCUGAUGGCUGGAUUUCCAGAGCCACAGAGAAGACAGCCAGGACUCUUAGUCUUUUCACCUGGAUGGUGGUUACACAGGAGUGCUCGCUUUGUAAAAAAUUAAUCAGGCCAUAUAUUUAAGCUUUUGUGUACCUUAUAGCAUAUAAAAUACUUCAAUAAAAAAAGUAAAAAUAAAUUAUAGUUACUGUUUUUCUAAUUGCACAUCCUCCUUUUUCACUUUUCUACUUAACACCAUGUAAUGGGGCAGAUUCUUCCUCGGAUGAAGCCAAGAUGGUAACAUAAGCAUGGGCAUUUGAUCACCUCCCUAUCCAACCCCCUACAGACACAGCCUAGGCAAAUAUAAAAUGGGUAAGUUUUGACUUAUUCUAGAAAAUAA
rnacentral:lncRNA from 10 species